rnacentral:rRNA from 1 species
GUAGGGUGCGAGCGUUGUCCGGAAUUAUUGGGCGUAAAGAGCUCGUAGGCGGUUUGUCGCGUCGGCCGUGAAAACUUGGGGCUUAACCCCAAGCCUGCGGUCGAUACGGGCAGACUUGAGUUCGGCAGGGGAGACUGGAAUUCCUGGUGUAGCGGUGAAAUGCGCAGAUAUCAGGAGGAACACCGGUGGCGAAGGCGGGUCUCUGGGCCGAUACUGACGCUGAGGAGCGAAAGCGUGGGGAGCGAACAGGAUUAGAUACCCUGGUAGUCCACGCCGUAAACGGUGGGUGCUAGGUGUGGGGGACUUCCACGUCCUCUGUGCCGCAGCUAACGCAUUAAGCACCCCGCCUGGGGAGUACGGCCGCAAGGCUA